rnacentral:rRNA from 1 species
UAGGGAAUCUUCCGCAAUGGACGCAAGUCUGACGGAGCAACGCCGCGUGAGUGAAGAAGGAUUUCGGUUCGUAAAACUCUGUCGUUAGAGAAGAACAGCGCAUAGAGUAACUGUUAUGCGUGUGACGGUAUCUAACUAGAAAGCCACGGCCAACUACGUGCCAGCAGCCGCGGUAAUACGUAGGUGGCAAGCGUUGUCCGGAUUUAUUGGGCGUAAAGCGGGCGCAGGCGGUCAAUUAAGUCUGAUGUGAAAGCCCCCGGCUCAACCGGGGGGGGUCAUUGGAAACUGGUUGACUUGAGUGCAGAAGGGGAGAGUGGAAUUCCAUGUGUAGCGGUGAAAUGCGUAGGUAUAUGGAGGAACACCAGUGGCGAAGGCGACUCUCUGGUCUGUAACUGACGCUGAGGUUCGAAAGCGUGGGUAGCAAACAGG